rnacentral:misc_RNA from 1 species
CCGAGUUCUACAACUCCCAACCCUUGCGAACCGUAACCCAGUCUGUUCUCGUUGCUUCCGGCGGCGCGGGCGGGAGGCUGGGGGGAGCGAUCCCCCCCCUCCUGCCCCCCGCCGGGGGCGGCGGGCCCUCUGAACCUUUUUUCUCAAACCACUGAAACCGUCUGAGCAAACAAAAAACAAAAUUAUCA